GACGAGCGCUGGCGGCGUGCUUAACACAUGCAAGUCGAGCGGAAAGGCCACUUCGGUGGUACUCGAGCGGCGAACGGGUGAGUAACACGUGAGUAAUCUGCCCUUGGCUUGGGGAUAGCCACCGGAAACGGUGAUUAAUACCGGAUACGACCACUUCUCGCAUGGGAUGGUGGUGGAAAGUUUUUCGGCCAGGGAUGUGCUCGCGGCCUAUCAGCUUGAUGGUGAGGUAAUGGCUCACCAUGGCUUCGACGGGUAGCCGGCCUGAGAGGGUGACCGGUCACACUGGGACUGAGACACGGCCCAGACUCCUACGGGAGGCAGCAGUGGGGAAUAUUGGACAAUGGGCGGAAGCCUGAUCCAGCAACGCCGCGUGAGGGAUGACGGCCUUCGGGUUGUAAACCUCUUUCGGUGGGGACGAAGCGCAAGUGACGGUACCCACUAAAGAAGCACCGGCCAACUACGUGCCAGCCGCCGCCGUAACAC
rnacentral:rRNA from 1 species